AUGAGUGGUUUUUUCAAAAUAUCUAGUUGGGAUUAAUCCUUCUUGAAUACAACUAACAUCAGCACCACUAUCAAUCAUAGCAAUAUUGGUAACAGAAAAUUCCUUAUUUAUCAAAAUAGUGCAGUUUAUAUACCACUUAUGAGCAGUAACAAUUUGCAUCAUUCCCAAGAAAUAAUCUUUUUUCAAAUCUUCUGCUGGACUGAAUUUA
rnacentral:lncRNA from 1 species